AGAGUUUGAUCCUGGCUCAGGAUGAACGCUAGCGGCAGGCUUAACACAUGCAAGUCGAGGGGCAGCGGGAUGUAGCAAUACAUUGCCGGCGACCGGCGGAUGGGUGCGUAACGCGUAUGCAACCUACCUUAUACAGGGGAAUAACCUUUCGAAAGGGAGACUAACACCCCAUAGUAUUGAUUUAAGGCAUCUUAGAUUAAUUAAAUAUUUAUAGGUAUAAGAUGGGCAUGCGUAUGAUUAGCUAGUUGGUAAGGUAACGGCUUACCAAGGCGACGAUCAUUAGGGGUUCUGAGAGGAAGGUCCCCCACACUGGUACUGAGACACGGACCAGACUCCUACGGGAGGCAGCAGUGAGGAAUAUUGGUCAAUGGGCGCAAGCCUGAACCAGCCAUGCCGCGUGCAAGGAAGACGGCCUUAUGGGUUGUAAACUGCUUUUACAUAAGACUAACCGUAUAUUUGCGAAUAUACCUGAAUGUAUUAUGAGAAUAAGGAUCGGCUAACUCCGUGCCAGCCGCCGC
rnacentral:rRNA from 1 species